AGCAGCAUGGCGCAGUUGGAAGCGCGCGGGGCCCAUAUAUUAGUUUACCCCGAGGUCACUUGAUCGAAACAAGUUGCUGCUA